GACGAACCACACAAACGUUAUUCGGAAUUACUGGGCUUAAAGGGUGCGUAGGCGGCGCUACAAGUUGGGUGUGAAAUCCCUCGGCUCAACCGAGGAAUUGCGCCCAAAACUGUAGUGCUCGAGGGAGACAGAGGUAAGCGGAACUUAGGGUGGAGCGGUGAAAUGCGUUGAUAUCCUAAGGAACACCCGUGGCGAAAGCGGCUUACUGGGUCUCUUCUGACGCUGAGGCACGAAAGCUAGGGUAGCGAACGGG
rnacentral:rRNA from 1 species